CCUAACACAUGCAAGUCGAGCGCGCCCUUCGGGGUGAGCGGCGGACGGGUUAGUAACGCGUGGGAAUAUACCCUUUGGCACGGAAUAGCCUCUGGAAACGGAGAGUAAUACCGUAUGAGCCCUUCGGGGGAAAGAUUUAUCGCCAAAGGAUUAGCCCGCGUUAGAUUAGGUAGUUGGUGGGGUAAUGGCCUACCAAGCCUACGAUCUAUAGCUGGUUUUAGAGGAUGAUCAGCAACACUGGGACUGAGACACGGCCCAGACUCCUACGGGAGGCAGCAGUGGGGAAUCUUGGACAAUGGGGGCAACCCUGAUCCAGCCAUGCCGCGUGAGUGAUGAAGGCCUUAGGGUCGUAAAGCUCUUUCGCCUGUGAAGAUAAUGACGGUAGCAGGUAAAGAAACCCCGGCUAACUCCGUGCCAGCAGCCGCGGUAAUACGGAGGGGGUUAGCGUUGUUCGGAAUUACUGGGCGUAAAGCGCACGUAGGCGGAUCGGAAAGUUGGGGGUGAAAUCCCGGGGCUCAGCCCCGGAACUGCCUCCAAAACUAUCGGUCUAGAGUUCGAGAGAGGUGAGUGGAAUUCCGAGUGUAGAGGUGAAAUUCGUAGAUAUUCGGAGGAACACCAGUGGCGAAGGCGGCUCACUGGCUCGAUACUGACGCUGAGGUGCGAAAGUGUGGGGAGCAAACAGGAUUAGAUACCCUGGUAGUC
rnacentral:rRNA from 1 species